AACAAAACUAUCGGAUGAGAGAUGAGAGUUUGCGAUAAUCUUCAUUUUAGAAUUUAACAAAUGAGGAGUCACAGACUUGAUUUUUCGCUCGAUUGUUCGACA